GUGUGUGUGUUUAAUAUCCCUCACCUCUCCUACCGUUAACCGGAACAGGGGACAGGUAGUGUGUUUAAUAUCCCUCACCUCUCCUACCGUUAACCGGAACAGGGGACAGGUAGUGUGUUUAAUAUCCCUCACCUCUCCUACCGUUAACCGGAACAGGUAGUGUGUGUGUUUGAUAUCCCUCACCUCUCCUACCGUUAACCGGAACAGGGGACAGGUAGUGUGUUUAAUAUCCCUCACCUCUCCUACCGUUAACCGGAACAGGGGACAGGUAGUGUGUUUAAUAUCCCUCACCUCUCCUACCGUUAACCGGAACAGAGGACAGGUAGUGUGUGUGUUUAAUAUCCCUCACCUCUCCUACCGUUAACCGGAACAGGGGACAGGUAGUGUGUUUAAUAUCCCUCACCUCUCCUACCGUUAACCGGAACAGGGGACAGGUAGUGUGUUUAAUAUCCCUCAUCUCUCCUACCGUUAACCGGAACAGGGGACAGGUAGUGUGUGUUUAAUAUCCCUCAUCUCUCCUACCGUUAACCGGAACAGGGGACAGGUAGUGUGUGUUUAAUAUCCCUCAUCUCUCCUACCGUUAACCGGAACAGGGGACAGGUAGUGUGUUUAAUAUCCCUCAUCUCUCCUACCGUUAACCGGAACAGGGGACAGGUAGUGUGUUUAAUAUCCCUCACCUCUCCUACCGUUAACCGGAACAGGGGACAGGUAGUGUGUUUAAUAUCCCUCACCUCUCCUACCGUUAACCGGAACAGGGGACAGGUAGUGUGUUUAAUAUCCCUCACCUCUCCUACCGUUAACCGGAACAGGGGACAGGUAGUGUGUUUAAUAUCCCUCACCUCUCCUACCGUUAACCGGAACAGGGGACAGGUAGUGUGUUUAAUAUCCCUCAUCUCUCCUACCGUUAACCGGAACAGGGGACAGGUAGUGUGUUUAAUAUCCCUCAUCUCUCCUACCGUUAACCGGAACAGGGGACAGGUAGUGUGUUUAAUAUCCCUCAUCUCUCCUACCGUUAACCGGAACAGGGGACAGGUAGUGUGUUUAAUAUCCCUCAUCUCUCCUACCGUUAACCGGAACAGGGGACAGGUAGUGUGUUUAAUAUCCCCCACCUCUCCUACCGUUAACCGGAACAGGGGACAGGUAGUGUGUUUAAUAUCCCUCAUCUCUCCUACCGUUAACCGGAACAGGGGACAGGUAGUGUGUUUAAUAUCCCUCAUCUCUCCUACCGUUAACCGGAACAGGGGACAGGUAGUGUGUUUAAUAUCCCUCAUCUCUCCUACCGUUAACCGGAACAGGGGACAGGUAGUGUGUUUAAUAUCCCUCAUCUCUCCUACCGUUAACCGGAACAGGGGACAGGUAGUGUGUUUAAUAUCCCUCAUCUCUCCUACCGUUAACCGGAACAGGGGACAGGUAGUGUGUUUAAUAUCCCUCAUCUCUCCUACCGUUAACCGGAACAGGGGACAGGUAGUGUGUUUAAUAUCCCUCAUCUCUCCUACCGUUAACCGGAACAGGGGACAGGUAGUGUGUUUAAUAUCCCUCAUCUCUCCUACCGUUAACCGGAACAGGGGACAGGUAGUGUGUUUAAUAUCCCUCACCUCUCCUACCGUUAACCGGAACAGGUAGUGUGUGUGUUUGAUAUCCCUCACCUCUCCUACCGUUAACCGGAACAGGGGACAGGUAGUGUGUUUAAUAUCCCUCACCUCUCCUACCGUUAACCGGAACAGGGGACAGGUAGUGUGUUUAAUAUCCCUCACCUCUCCUACCGUUAACCGGAACAGGGGACAGGUAGUGUGUUUAAUAUCCCCCACCUCUCCUACCGUUAACCGGA